GUGCCGGAGGGUUACGUGUCAUGCCUGCCAUUCAGUCUGAGUUAAAAAGCCACCUCUACAGCUCUAGAUAUUUUCUCUCUCGCUCUCUACCGGUCUACCCCGACAGCUGUACGGCUUCUGUGAGAGUUCAAGAACGAUCCAGAGAACCAUGAAGAGAAUUAGUGAGAGAGUGAGAGAGAGGUGAAAUUCAGGAAAGAUAAAGAAUUCAUCUCAUCUUCUCAGCACGACUUUAGUUGCUCUUCAUCCCGAGACUGAUUGGAGAGGCACACAGGGAAAGAAGUGGGAGAGGGAUCUGGGUUUUAACUCCAGCCCCAAAUUUCUAAUCAGAGAGGCACACAGACUGACGCGGUACUAUUUGUGCUCGAGUUUGGGAUUUGAGUGAUCGAUUCGAAAAGGUUCAAGUUUCGAUUCUGGACGGUUGAUUGAAAAAAUUACAAGGUUGCUGAUAACUUGCUUCAUGAAGCCACUAGGAAUCUAGAAAGUUUGAUAUUUUUCUCCCAGACCCUUAGAACCAAGGUAAUUCUCUUUCCCUAUUAAUGAUCACUUCUUUCUUAUGUUUCUAGAGAGCUGUUUAAGAUUCAAUGUUCAAGCUUUGAGAACCUGUUUUUAUUUAUUUAUUUAUUUUUAAUGAUGAUUGCUAUGGUUUAGAUUGUAGUUUAUUUUUUAGUUAUCUCAUAAUUUUCUUAAUAUGUGUGUUCCAAUUUUUAGUUUCAAAUGAUGCGUUCUAUAGUG